rnacentral:rRNA from 1 species
AACGAACGCUGGCGGCAGGCUUAACACAUGCAAGUCGAACGCACCGCAAGGUGAGUGGCAGACGGGUGAGUAACACGUGGGAACGUACCCCUUGUUCGGAAUAACCCUGGGAACGUAAGGGCUAAUACCGGAUACGGCCGAGAGGCGAAAGGUUUACCGCAGAGGGAUCGGCCCGCGUCCGAUUAGCUUGUUGGUGAGGUAAUGGCUCACCAAGGCAUCGAUCGGUAGCUGGUCUGAGAGGAUGGCCAGCCACAUUGGGACUGAGACACGGCCCAAACUCCUACGGGAGGCAGCAGUGGGGAAUAUUGGACAAUGGGCGCAAGCCUGAUCCAGCCAUGCCGCGUGAGUGAUGACGGCCUUAGGGUUGUAAAGCUCUUUUACCUGGGAAGAUAAUGACGGUACCAGGAGAAUAAGCCCCGGCUAACUUCGUGCCAGCAGCCGCAGUAAC